rnacentral:rRNA from 2 species
UACGUAGGGGGCAAGCGUUGUCCGGAAUCAUUGGGCGUAAAGAGCGUGUAGGCGGCCCGGUAAGUCCGCUGUGAAAGUCCAGGGCUCAACCCUGGGAUGCCGGUGGAUACUGUCGGGCUCGAGUCCGGAAGAGGAGUGUGGAAUUCCUGGUGUAGCGGUGAAAUGCGCAGAUAUCAGGAGGAACACCAAUGGCGAAGGCAGCACUCUGGGACGUGACUGACGCUGAGACGCGAAAGCGUGGGGAGCAAACAGG